rnacentral:lncRNA from 1 species
UAGAAUCUUGUUGAACCCUCUAACCCCGAGUCUCUUGAGCACUUGUAACAUCUUCGACGUCAGUCAUCAUUUUUCCCUGGAUCUUGUGUUGUCCGCUUACCACAAACCAACCACCUCAACUUUCUUCACAAUUAAAAACAAAACAUGUUAGAAUGGACUCAGUCAGCCUUUAUUACUAUCAACAGCAUGUCCAUCAUACUUUUUCACUUUUCUUUUUGGUUGAUCGAACCUGAUGUGGGUUGCCUACGUAUCAUGACGAUGCAUGAAUCAGAUCUUGCCUAGUUCGGGAAGAUUAUGAAUAAAGGAAAUAAAAUAAAUUUAUUGAUUUCCAAUUUUCUUUUUCUUUUUAUUUCACUUUUUUCAAAAGGAAGACUUAUGAAGAAGAAAGAAAAUAUUUUUUAUUUUGUUUUUUCUUCAACAUUUUUGCGAAAAAGACUUCUAAAGAAGAAAGAAUUUUUUUUCUUUCUUUUGGAGUUUUUAUUGUUUUUUUUUUUAAUUUCGAAAGAAAAACUUCUAAAGAAGAAAGCAAAAAUAUUUUUGCAUUUAUGGAUUUUAUUCUGAAGUUAGAAAAAAAAUACUUCUAUUUUCUUGUUAAUUGUCGGAAGAAGAAUGAAAAUAUUUUUGAAUUUUUUAUUUUAUUUUGAGAAGCAACUAAAAGAAAAUAUUUUUUGUAUUUUUUUUUUUAAAUUUGGAUGUCAAAGAAAAACUUUUCUAAACGAGGAAGUAAAAUUUUUUUUGGAUUUAUUUUUUAAAAUUGGGGGUCGGAACCGAUGAGGUUUGCCUACGUAUUUCACAUUUGGUGAGAACAGACCCCCGUAGUUCUGCCAGUUUUGAAAUAACAGGAAAAAUAUGACUUUUUUUUCUAUUUUUUAAAAUUUCGGCAGAGUUUCAGGAUAUUUUAAAUACCUACAUCUCACUUGUUUCUUUUCUUCUUUUUCUCUUUUUCUUUUUAUUUUUUUUCUUUUUCUUUCCCUAUCCUAUAAGCCAGACAGCAUGAAAGCCUGAACAGAUAGAUACGCAGAUAGUAAGAUUCAUCAGGAAAGUCUUUUAAUUUGGGUACAUCUGUCCUAUACGGACUCAACCCCUAUGUUGAGUUUCCAAAGUCAAAUGCACAUGUUGCAAACAAAUAUUCCUACUAGGGAUCCGGCAUGAGGCUGAGUUGUUCUAAGUAUAAAACUGGGUAUACCGUUCUAGACUUGUGCACCCGAGCGGACAGCUCGAGCCGAGGAGAGGGCUAUGUACUGGGAACCAAAAUAUCAUCCGACUAUGUAACUUGUUCAAGCAUCUCUCUUAUUCCAAGGUAUGACACUAAUAGAAUAGGGAGUCAGGCCAGCGUGCACAUCCUCAAAGAUGAGAAGAGAUGGGUUUCGUAGCAGUUUAUAUACAAUUCAUAGAAUAUUAAAGCGGUAAAAACAUUUAGCACAUUAGGCUCAAACAUGUAGGAAAAUCAGAUAAUAGAUAAAGUUAUUCAUAACAGCUAUUCUAAGCUCGAAUUUUUGAACCCCGAACCACAAAUUAUGGGUUCGAUCCCCAGCAGAGUCUCCAUAGCUGUCACGGCUCCUUUUUUACACUACAUCCCGCGAAUGGCAUAGAUAAGGGAGUUUUUACUAUUAAAGGACAAUCGAAACGGGAUAUCUAUUUAAGAUUUCAGAGUUGCCACUUGGGAUAGUUAAUGGUGUCCCAAGUCACCGAUUUAAAAUCCCGAAUCGAGGAAGGAUUGACUCUGUAAUACAGUUUGCGAGCAAGAAAUCCGGGUAAGGAAUUUUGUUAACCCAGGAGAAGGUGUUAGGUAUUUUUUGAGUUCUGUGGUUCUAGCACGGUCUCUCAACUGUUAUAUUUGGCUUAAUUAUCUGAUUUUAAAUCAUUUUGAACCUAUAUGGAACUUUAAAUUUAACCAUUUUUAUUCAUUUUAAAAGGAAGAUUGUGACGUUAUUUAAAAUAUAUUUUUGAACUACGUCACAUAAAUGCACCCACAGCCCGCAACACAUUUAUCUAACGUUUGGAUUUGGAUUUGGGUCAUAUAAAUGUGCACCCGAGUUUUAGGAAGGUAGAUUAUUUAAACAAUACGCCUAAAGCAACUACACACUUUAAGUUUUCGAUAGCCAUGGAAAAUUCGUUAAUGGCACAGCUCGAUCUCUAACGGAUUCAAAAUUAAUCAUCUGAGGGCUAUGGGUUAUCUAUUUUUGGUUAUAGCACACCCCAAAUCUAAUUUUAAGAAAAUUCAAAACUCAGCUUUUGAGGGCCAUAGACUGUCUUUUGGCUAAUAUGGCACACAUCAACCUGCCCUUAAGAAAUCGUAAUUAUAUCACGCGAACGUAUUCACGAUCACGACGAUUGAUUAAGUGCGUUGCUAAAGAAAUAUUUCUACUAAUAUUCACGGUCCGUUAAAUUAAUAUCCUAAGGUUUUAGCUAUCAUGAAUCUAUUCACCCAUGUCGGUAUUAAAUAUCCUUGCUAUCAACUUACCGUCUUGAACCAUUCUAAGGUAUCCCUCAACAUCAUUGAUUUUCAGUAACUUAAUUUUCAUACCAAAAGUCAUAAAAGACUAAUUUAAACAUAGAACAUCAGCACACAAAAAAACAUACUAUAACUUGCACAUAAACACCAAAAUCAACAUAUACAUCGAGAAUCAAUAUUCCUAGGACAAUAAUCAAUAAUUUCAAUGAACUGGAAAAGAAAGAAAUGUUAAUAUGCUUAUAUAAAUGCACCUUUCAUGUGUGUAUAUGAACGUUAAAACUUCUAUAACUCAACGAUCGAAUUGAGAAUAAAUAGCAACACAGAAUCAGAGCAGCGACUGGAGCUUUGACGAUAAACCUCGAAUGAUACCUCAAAUAGUAAACCUGAACAAAUCUCUCCAGUUCUUUGGAGUUCUAUGACUAUUAUGAUUGAGAACACGGAAGAGAAGGCUUUUAUGGUUGUUUUUGAAGGAGGGAAUAUGAAUGUAAAAAAUGACUCUGGUAAGUGUGGAGAAAAAAAGUGCGGCUGCUUUUUUUGUUUAGUUUAGGUCUCAGUUUCUUGGUUCUCCAUCAAAUUUCUUUCUCAAUUUGUUAGAUCAUUAUCUAAUAAAACGUUAGGCGGCCAUUUUCUCCUAGAGAAUAGAGGGGUGUCGAUGGAUUUUUGGUGAAGAACAGGUGGGGUGCUACUGAAAUUCUUUGGGAUGAAGAAAAUGGGCGCCGAUCUUUAUUUUCUUAGAGUUGUAGGAAUGAAAGAUUAGGGUAGGAUUUCUAUAAUUAUGUAUUUUAUAUGGAAGUGAGAAGGG